GACGUAGGGGGCCAGCGUUGUUCGGAAUUACUGGGCGUAAAGGGUUCGUAGGCGGUGCGGCAAGUCGGGUGUGAAAUCUCUGGGCUUAACCCAGAGGCUGCUUCCGAAACUGCUGUGCUUGAGUGUGGGAGAGGCGCGUGGAAUUGCAGGUGUAGCGGUGAAAUGCGUAGAUAUCUGCAGGAACACCCGUGGCGAAAGCGGCGCGCUGGACCACUACUGACGCUGAGGAACGAAAGCUAGGGGAGCAAACAGG
rnacentral:rRNA from 1 species